UAAUAGAUGACAGUCUAGAACCCCAAAUGAC
rnacentral:piRNA from 1 species